rnacentral:rRNA from 1 species
UACGUAGGGGGCAAGCGUUGUCCGGAAUCAUUGGGCGUAAAGAGCGUGUAGGCGGCUCGCAAAGUCUGGUGUGAAAACUUGAGGCUCAACCUCAAGCUGUCACUGGAUACUGGCGGGCUUGAGUCCGGAAGAGGAGAGUGGAAUUCCUGGUGUAGCGGUGGAAUGCGCAGAUAUCAGGAGGAACACCUAUGGCGAAGGCAGCUCUCUGGUACGUGACUGACGCUGAGACGCGAAAGCGUGGGGAGCGAACAGG